rnacentral:rRNA from 1 species
CUACGGGAUGCUCCAGUGAGGAAUAUUGCACAAUGGGGGGAACCCUGAUGCAGCAACGCCGCGUGGAGGAUGACGCAUUUCGGUGUGUAAACUCCUUUUAUAUGUCAAGAAAAUGACGGUAGCAUAUGAAUAAGCACCGGCUAACUCCGUGCCAGCAUCCGCGGUAAUACGGAGGGUGCAAGCGUUACUCGGAAUCACUGGGCGUAAAGGACGCGUAGGCGGGUUGGAAAGUCAGGUGUGAAAUCCUACAGCUUAACUGUAGAACUGCACUUGAAACUUCUAAAUCUAGAGUAUGGGAGGGGGAGAUGGAAUUAGUGGUGUAGGGGUAAAAUCCGUAGAUAUCACUAGGAAUACCUAAAGCGAAGGCGAUCUCCUGGAACAUUACUGACGCUAAGGCGUGAAAGCGUGGGGAGCAAACAGGAUUAGAUACCCUAGUAGUC